UGCUGGACGCGCCCCAGGCGCACCCAGAAACCCUUUGUGAACUUAUACCUAUUGUUGCCUCGGCGCUAGCUGGUCCUCCGGGGCCCCCUGGAGACAGGGAGCGGCGCGCCGGUGGCCCACUCAACUCUGUUUCUUAGUGAAUCUCUGAGUAAAAAAACAAAUGAAUCAAAACUUUCAACAACGGAUCUCUUGGUUCUGGCAUCGAUGAAGAACGCAGCGAAAUGCGAUAAGUAAUGUGAAUUGCAGAAUUCAGUGAAUCAUCGAAUCUUUGAACGCACAUUGCGCCCUCUGGUAUUCCGGAGGGCAUGCCUGUUCGAGCGUCAUUUCAACCCUCAAGCCUGGCUUGGUGUUGGGGCACUGCCUGUAAAAGGGCAGGCCCUGAAAUAUAGUGGCGAGCUCGCCAGGACUCCGAGCGUAGUAGUUAUAUCUCGUUCUGGAAGGCCUGGCGGUGCCCUGCCGUUAAACCCCAACUUUUGAAAAUUUGACCUCGGAUCAGGUAGGAAUACCCGCUGAACUUAA
rnacentral:sRNA from 1 species